UACCCGCAGCACGAGUGGUGGUCACUUUUAUUGGGCCUAAAGCGUCCGUAGCCUGUUGAGUAAAUGCCUGGGUAAAUCGAUGCGCUCAACGUAUCGACUUCCGGGUAGACUGCUCGACUUGAGACCGGGAGAGGUGUGAGGUACUCCUAGGGUAGAGGUGAAAUUCUGUAAUCCUGGGGGGACCACCAGUGGCGAAGGCGUCUAGCUAGAACGGGUCUGACGGUGAGGAACGAAGCCCUGGGGCGCAAACCGGAUCAGAUACCCGGGUGGUCCAGGGUGUAAACGCUGCUUGCUUGAUGUUAGUUGGGCUCCGAGCCCAAUUAGUGUCGGAGAGAAGUUGUUAAGCAAGCUGCCUGGGAAGUACGGUCGCAAGAUUGAAACUUAAAGGAAUUGGGCGGGGAGCACAGCAACGGGUGGAGCGUGCGGUUU
rnacentral:rRNA from 1 species